rnacentral:rRNA from 1 species
UACGGGGGGGGCAAGCGUUGUUCGGAAUUACUGGGCGUAAAGGGCUCGUAGGCGGCCAACUAAGUCAGACGUGAAAUCCCUCGGCUUAACCGGGGAACUGCGUCUGAUACUGGUUGGCUUGAAUCCGGGAGAGGGAUGUGGAAUUCCAGGUGUAGCGGUGAAAUGCGUAGAUAUCUGGAGGAACACCGGUGGCGAAGGCGGCAUCCUGGACCGACAUUGACGCUGAUGAGCGAAAGCUAGGGGAGCAAACGGG